rnacentral:rRNA from 1 species
UACGUAGGGUGCGAGCGUUAAUCGGAAUACUGGGCGUAAAGCGUGCGCAGGCGGUGAUGUAAGACAGUUGUGAAAUCCCCGGGCUCAACCUGGGAACUGCAUCUGUGACUGCAUCGCUGGAGUGCGGCAGAGGGGAUGGAAUUCCGCGUGUAGCAGUGAAAUGCGUAGAUAUGCGGAGGAACACCGAUGGCGAAGCAAUCCCCUGGGCCU